UACGGAAGGCAGCAGUGGGGAAUAUUGCACAAUGGGCGCAAGCCUGAUGCAGCCAUGCCGCGUGUAUGAAGAAGGCCUUCGGGUUGUAAAGUACUUUCAGUCGUGAGGAAGGUGUUAAGGUUAAUAACCUUAGCAAUUGACGUUAGCGACAGAAGAAGCACCGGCUAACUCCGUGCCAGCAGCCGCGGUAAUACGGAGGGUGCGAGCGUUAAUCGGAAUUACUGGGCUAAAGGGCACGCAGGCGGUUAAUUAAGUUGGAUGUGAAAUCCCCGGGCUUAACCUGGGAAUGGCAUUCAAGACUGGUUAGCUAGAGUCUUGUAGAGGGGGUAGAAUUCCAUGUGUAGCGGUGAAAUGCGUAGAGAUGUGGAGGAAUACCGGUGGCGAAGGCGGCCCCUGGGACAAAGGACUGACGCUCAUGUGCGAAAGCGUGGGGAGCAAACAGGGAUUAGAUACC
rnacentral:rRNA from 1 species